UUGAAGGAGGUGAAUAGCACCUCCCCUCACGCACCUUCGAAUCCAAGUCACCACCAUCAGUCAUCCUUGAUGAUCAAAUGGUCAACUCACAGGAUCCACCACACAUAGGUAAUCCAAGCCCAAGCCACUGAGACCAUAGGCUUGAAGAGAUGGUUGCCCCCAGCUACAACAAAAUUGGAUUCAGGACCGCAGAUCACAAAACCAGCACCUUUGCUCCUGCCCCUGAUACUAUCAUCAAAGUUGACCUUAAGGUACAUCGGAGGAGGGGGUUCUCAGGAAAUAAAAACCCGAUAGGGCACUGCAGGAGCAAUGUAAGAGUCUCAGAUCUCAGAUGAUCUCAAGAUCACAUCAAUGAUUUCCACUGUCAAGGAGAGAGCUCACUCGAAGAUAAAUCUGGUCGGAGAUCUCCUAAACUCAAACACUAGACUAUUCUGUGACAGCUAAAUAUGGUAAGCAAUAUAGGCCACAUGGAUAUC
rnacentral:lncRNA from 1 species